AUCCAGGUGACAAGUCCUAAAUAGGACGAAACGCGCAUUCUGGAU
rnacentral:hammerhead_ribozyme from 1 species